rnacentral:rRNA from 1 species
UACGAGGGGGCGAGCGUUGUUCGGAAUUAUUGGGCGUAAAGCGCGCGCAGGCGGUUUCUUAAGUCUGAUGUGAAAGCCCACGGCUCAACCGUGGAGGGUCAUUGGAAACUGGGGAACUUGAGUGCAGAAGAGAAAAGCGGAAUUCCACGUGUAGCGGUGAAAUGCGUAGAGAUGUGGAGGAACACCAGUGGCGAAGGCGGCUUUUGGUCUGUAACUGACGCUGAGGCGCGAAAGCGUGGGGAGCAAACAGG